AUCACUUUCCAUUACUUCCAUCUCAUCUUCAGUUGUGGUAUCAGAAAGUGGUUCAGGUUCCUUCCUUUUCUUUCCUGGAACUUUGUUACACUUCUCUUUUUUCUGUGUCCCCUCCUGCCCUGUAGUUUCCUUUCUACAUUCCUCCUGAGUUAUGAUUUGACUGUGCAUACUAAUUUUUCUUCUUGUAGGUUGUGUCGUUCCAACUCUUCCCCUACGGUGCAGAAUUUCUUCCAAAGUUGUUUCCUUUUCCUUCUCUACCAAAAGGAUGUUGAACUUCAUUCCUGUAGGAGCCCUGGCUUGAAUUUCAUUGACAAGAGUCCUCCAGCUUAACUGUUUGGCAUAUAAAGCACUUCGCUUUUCUAUAUCUUUCUUGAUCUCAUCUUGAAGUUCA